rnacentral:rRNA from 1 species
UACGUAGGGUGCGAGCGUUGUCCGGAAUUAUUGGGCGUAAAGGCUCGUAGGCGGUUUGUCACGUCGGGAGUGAAAACUCGGGGCUUAACUCCGAGCCUGCUUCCGAUACGGGCUGACUAGAGGUAUGCAGGGGAGAACGGAAUUCCUGGUGUAGCGGUGAAAUGCGCAGAUAUCAGGAGGAACACCGGUGGCGAAGGCGGUUCUCUGGGCAUUACCUGACGCUGAGGAGCGAAAGUGUGGGGAGCGAACGGG